CGGGAUGUAGCGCAGCCUGGUUAGCGCACUAGUCUGGGGGACUAGGGGUCGGAGGUUCAAAUCCUCUCAUCCCGACCA
rnacentral:tRNA from 2 species